rnacentral:rRNA from 1 species
GAUGAACGCUGGCGGCGUGCCUAAUACAUGCAAGUCGAGCGAACAGACGAGGAGCUUGCUCCUCUGACGUUAGCGGCGGACGGGUGAGUAACACGUGGAUAACCUACCUAUAAGACUGGGAUAACUUCGGGAAACCGGAGCUAAUACCGGAUAAUAUAUUGAACCGCAUGGUUCAAUAGUGAAAGACGGUUUUGCUGUCACUUAUAGAUGGAUCCGCGCCGCAUUAGCUAGUUGGUAAGGUAACGGCUUACCAAGGCAACGAUGCGUAGCCGACCUGAGAGGGUGAUCGGCCACACUGGAACUGAGACACGGUCCAGACUCCUACGGGAGGCAGCAGUAGGGAAUCUUCCGCAAUGGGCGAAAGCCUGACGGAGCAACGCCGCGUGAGUGAUGAAGGUCUUCGGAUCGUAAAACUCUGUUAUUAGAGAAGAACAUAUGUGUAAGUAACUGUGCACAUCUUGACGGUACCUAAUCAGAAAGCCACGGCUAACUACGUG